UCCCUCUCAGGACCGCACCCGGAGACUUUCCGGUACUCUACCGGUCUCGGCUACGAGAGGGAGAGUCAAGCGGAGGCAUACCCAUUCCAUUCCCGGCUGAGGCAGUGGCUAGCGAGUGGAAGGCAAUCUGCUACAAGU